rnacentral:lncRNA from 1 species
CCCCAAACCCAAAUCCCUCAUUUUCUCAAAGAGAUCAGCCGACCUCUCUCUCUACCUUCUCUUUAUCUCUCUUCCUCUCUCUCUAUCCAUGGUUGUCGCGACCGACCUCCACCCUACCAAGAUGUUGUAUCCCUCUAUCCCUCUUUCUCUCUCCAACUCUAAACAACAUCACCAUGUUUAUCUCCAGUCAACACCGCAACCAUCACGCUACCAGCCGCUGCCGCCCGUCGAGAAACCCCUUUGAUGGAACUACCAACUCCAUCGCAAUUUUCUCUAUUUCUCCGAUGAAUAAACACCGAAAUCACCACCAGCCGGCGAAGCAGCCGUCCACCACCCAGCGCCAAACAUCAACUCGGAUAGCACCGUCUCUCCAUGCACCAGCCCCACCCUUCGCCGCCCUCUCCUCUCACUAGUCACUUCCUCAUCGGAGUUAAUGACUGACGAGGUUUGAAAAGAACCUCACCACGAUUAUGGUCGGGUUUUAUCUUUUGUUUUACGUUAAAUUGCUUGAUUUCGUUUACUUUACCUUCAAAUUAUUCGAAUUUCCAGGUUUAGGGUCUGUGGCGUUUGAGUUUGAAUUUUGAUCCAAUGUCUUUAAUUAUGUGUUUAUUUGUGUCUCUAGACUAACAUACACAAAAACCCUUAAAAUUUAAAUGAGUUUUGGCAUGAUCCCUAUUUUCAAUCUGAGCACUGAUUUCGCAAAACCUUUACACCUCGAUUCUCUCUUCAUUUCACUCUUAUUGUGGUGUUGAAUUAAGCAGAACUUUAAUUUUUUACGGAUGACUUUGAUAUUGUGAUUAUAAUUUGUGUCUCAUAUCCCUUGAAUUUUAACAUAUUAGUGGAUUAUGUUUGGUAACUUUAGAUAUGAUGUUGGGCAUAAUUACAAUCCCCUGAUUAAGGAAGAUUUUUUAAUUCCUUUGAUUCAUCUGUUUUGGGAAAAUUAGAUGAUUGAUUCCGUUAAUUUUUCUAUUGAUAAACACUAGUGCCGCCCACAUUCUAUGCUGUCUACUUGUUUUGCUAUCGAGAUAUUUACUUGCUUAUUCAUGGUAAUUCCUUGAUUUAAUUAAUUCAUUGUGAUUUACCUUGACUAAUUUUCUACCUAUUUCUACUGAUUGUCUUUCCCUUCCUCUAACUAGGACAACUUUUCAUUAAAUUUAUUUGGGUAAAGCUGACAUACUAUGUUAAUUCAAAUUAGUGCAUUAAAGGAAAAUAUUCUGACUAAUUGUUAAAAUAUUUUUUCCUCCUUUAUUGAUUCUGAUUGAUUUUCUAGAAUAUUUCAUUUUACUUCUUACUUCCCCUUAGUGAUUCUUCCAUUUUUCUUUCUUUUAACCCUAUGCCAUCUCACUAUAUAAACACCCCUUCCCCAUUCUCAAAAAGGACGGACACAACUACAACUUACAAAAGUUUUACUUUCUGUCUUGUGCGAGUUGCACUUAUUUUUAAAAGCAUUGGUCUUGAUUGAAUUUUAUUCUUUCGUGGGAAUUAGCUUGAACUUUUCUCUACAUGGUUUUCUUAUUACUACUUGUUAUCAUCAACCGAUGAGUUCCUAUUUGAUGUAAUUUUUUAUGCCUUCUGGGAUAAUUGUAUUGUGUUGUAGAAAUCGUUAGAGAUCCUACCUAUAGAAGCUAGUUCAGAAUAAUUAUUAUGUGCUUGCCUGACAUGUCUUUGUUUCAUUGUGUAAGACAAUGUGUUGGUAUAUUCAAGUGUUCCUUCUGUGCUUGCCCCGCUCUUUUUUGACAGGUAUUAAGUGGUAUUAGAAAAGUCGUCGGGGACUUGGGAGUGUUUGUUUGUUUAUUUCUUAGUUUAGUUUUAUAGCUUCAUUUUCUUUAUUCAUUGGUCCGUAUUGUAUAAACCUCACUGAUGUAAUAAUAAUUAUUGGGACUGCUUGGGGAGCGGGGAUUUAUGUGCUCUCUGAAUCGCGUAGGCAAAUAUAACUUAAGAUUCAUGUGAUUACGUGAUUUAGUUGAACCACUUAGGCAGCAAUUAUAUCUACAUAAAUUAGCUUCCUACAAUUGGAACACAUUCUUCAUCAUU